ACAGCCGGACGAAGCGCUAUGACUAAACCUUCUCCAUAUAUCAUAUUGCUUUUUCUUUUUUUCUUUUGCCCUGCUGUUCUCUUUGCCAUCUCGGGCAGUCGUUCGGCCGCAGUGCCCUGGCAACGUCGCGUCGAAUGAAUGAAAACGGAGCAUAGAUCGCUCUGUUAACCGACAUUUCUCUCUCUCUCUCUCUCUCUUUCUUUUUCUCUAUAUCAUCUUUGUCUGUGUAUUUGGUGCUUCUUGCGUGGCACGGCCUGUUCGUGUGCAUAUUAAACUCGAAGGAGAACGAACAAACGCUCAUCUUGGAGUUUAACGAAUGACAAACCUCCGCGCUUUCGCUCCGUUCGUCUGCGAGAACUCCGGAGAACGACGUAUUCCAAUCGCGAAAACGCGAUCAGCAACGAAACUCAUUGCAUCAGCAUGCAUGCCGCGAGCAUCGUCUCUCGCAUCUUUGCGCCGGUUUUGUCAAGCGCCGCGCAAAAGGAAUCGCUAUUUUUCAACAGCACCCAAGAUUCAAGAUGGCCGGCUGCAUGUCGGUCGAGAAGAGCCCCUUUCGUCCCCUACAUGCUCCGCUCUCUCACUCCUUUGGUCGCGAGCCUCUCCCUUCCUCUUCGCUUUUUACGACGCGCGCAUGCAUGCGCGCACAUAGGCACACACGUAUACAGUGCCGCAUUAACCUGUUUUGCACCCAUACACUGAAUUAUUUUGAGUAACAAUUUUCUCAAGAGAUAUUAGAACAUUAAAAAUUAUUAAAAUCAUUAUAUUAUUUUAUAACCCUAACUUUUUAUUACGCAAGUGCUCAUUAAAAUUUUACAAAAUUCACAAUUUUAAAAAUUAAUUUCUUUGAGAUGUCGUUUUAAGAAAACCUUUAUUUACAUCGAGUUUAAUUUCCUGGGGGAUACACAAUUUUUUUCACUGUUUUCAAUUUUUCAAAUAUUUUACAAUGCUUAAUUAAACAAAAAAAUAAAAUUAAAAAUUGCCAUUCUAAACAUAUAGUCCACUCAAGUCUAUUUCUUAAUACGGAAUUGUACAUAUACAUGCGUGCGAGCGUGAACGAGUAUUUUCUCUAUUGCUCUCAUGUGUCGAUAUUUGUAAUUUUCAACAUUAUCCUGCGUCGCAAUGCCGGUUCUCUAUGCGGUGCAAGCUCGUUUUUCUUUUACGAGCCGGUAACGAGCCAAACCAAAAUUUUGUUGCGAUUGUAUCCAGAUAACACAAAAUCCAAAAUCGGAUUAUAAGUCAUCUUUAAAACACUUUAUAUGUUUUAUGAUCUAAUUUUGGAUUCUGAUUAAGAGUCAUCUCAACCACGAAAGAGCGCAAAUAUAAUCCAGCACGACAUAUUCCCCUCUAAAAUAUCAGAAGCAAUCGAAUAUUACAACAUCUGUUAAUAAUUUUCAUUAGUAAGUAAACGUGGAUUUAUUAUCUGAAAUAAUAAAAGUGCCGAAAAAACAUUACAAUUGAUGUAUAUAUACUUAUUAUUGAUAUAAGUUAUAUUGGUUCUAUCCAAAAAGAGUUUUUUUUUUAAUUUGUUUAUAAGCAAGACGUUAUAACGAAAAUAUAAAUUAAAUACAGCGUUGUAUAGAAAGUAUGAAUAUAGUGUUACAAUAAUGAAACUGUGGACAUUAAUAAAUAACUAUUAUUUGAUACUUAUAGAAUGCAGUAAUUUCUCACAAAAUAUUAGAUCAUGAGAAACAUAAUCGAGGAAAUUCUAUUUUUGAUCUCAUUAUCGACAACAGAAUACAUUAAAGAGUUCUCUGAAUCACUAUAGGUAGAAAUUUAUCAGAUAUAUAGAAUAAACGUAAUUUACAAUUUACUGAAAAGGAAAAAAAAGGAUGCGUUUGUGGAAGCAGGAGGAUCGUGGAAUACUAACAACUAAUAUCAUGAAAGGCAUUUUUAUUUAUAAAAAACAAAUUAAUGAUCUUUCGUAGACUUUACACAUAAUUAAGCACCAGAAAUCAAAGUCUACGAACAUUUCUUAAAAUAUAUGCUAUUAAAAUAAAAUUAAAAAAAAAAUAAAACUUGAACUUUUUAAAAUAAUUUCUUUGUUUUUAAUGAAUACUAUACAGCAUCUAUAAUACAUGUAAGAUUGUAAAAUUGCAAGAGAGAUGCACAUAGCGGACAACCAUAUUCCACAACCACAUAUAACAUGACUAUUUGCAGAAUUUAUACACACAUUACGACACACAUUAAGUUCAGUAUAUUAUUUGAAAUUCACACAUUCAAGGGUUUUAAUUUAGAUUAAAGUUAAAAAAUAUGUAACAUACUAUGUCUGUGAAGUUAUUAUUACAAAAACUUGGAACAGCACCUAUGUUUAAAUUAAGUACUUUUUAUAUGCUAAUUAUAAUAUACUGUAUUUUCAGGUUUAAAACUCGAACGGUUCAACAGAAAAUCACGAUUGAAAGUGGGGAUACUGGCUUAAAGUUAAGUCAGCACCUAUUUAUUGUAAUUAUUUAUAAAGUUAAAAAAUUAAUACAGUAGAAUUAAACGCUUUUUAUAUACUUUUGAAAUAUGCACAAUAAAAUUGUUGCGUUUAUUCACUUUAUUCUUUUAACCAAAAAAGCAGCAGUAUAUUUGUGCGUGUUCAUAUUGGAGGUGGUUUUUCGGCCAAUUUGAUAUUUACUUUUUUUACUGGCACUCUUGUAUCAGAAAGGAUGGGGGGGGGCGGUCUUCGAGGGUGGUCGGUCGAAAGGGAUGAGUACGAAAAUCUCGUUGUGCAUAUUUCAAAAGUACAUAAAAACACUUAAUUUCAGUGUAUUAAUUUUUUUAUUUUAUAAAUAAUUACAAUAAGUAGAUGCUGGCUUAACGUUAGCCAGCACUCCUACUUUCUGUAAUUAUUUAUAAAAUAAAAAAUUGUUUAUUUUAUAAAGUGAUUUUCUGCUAAACCGCUCGAGCACAAAAAUUGAAAAUACUGUACAUAAUUAGCAUAUAAAAAACUUAAUUUUAGUGUAGUUGCCGUUCCGAGUUUUUGUGGUGUUAAUUUCUCAACAUAAACAUACUCUUAAAAUUAUGUAGAGAGUUUACAUCUGUAAAAUAUACCGGUGUGGAUUUGGCACUUUAUUUUUAAAAAAUAAACAUUUUAUUCAGAGUUCCAUUUGCACUCACAAUAGUUCUGUCGAUUUGAACAAAAAAAAUUUAAUUUUAAAAAUAUAUGGUACCAACUUUCUGUUGCACCCCAAAUUACGAAAAAAA